rnacentral:rRNA from 1 species
CCUACGGGAGGCUGCAGUGAGGAAUAUUGGUCAAUGGACGAGAGUCUGAACCAGCCAAGUAGCGUGAAGGAUGACUGCCCUAUGGGUUGUAAACUUCUUUUAUAAAGGAAUAAAACGAGGCACGUGUGCCUUUUUGCAUGUACUUUAUGAAUAAGGAUCGGCUAACUCCGUGCCAGCAGCCGCGGUAAUACGGAGGAUCCGAGCGUUAUCCGGAUUUAUUGGGUUUAAAGGGAGCGUAGAUGGGUUGUUAAGUCAGUUGUGAAAGUUUGCGGCUCAACCGUAAAAUUGCAAUUGAUACUGGCAGUCGUGAGUACAGUUGAGGUAAGCGGAAUUCGUGGUGUAGCGGUGAAAUGCUUAGAUAUCACGAAGAACCCCGAUUGCGAAGGCAGCUUACUAAGCUGUGACUGACAUUGAUGCUCGAAAGUGUGGGUAUCAAACAGGAUUAGAUACCCGGGUAGUC